GCCCUUAGCGCAAUUGGAUAGAGCAUCAGAUUCCGAUUCUGAAGGUUGGGAGUUCGAACCUCUUAGGGCGGGCCA
rnacentral:tRNA from 1 species